GCUAGCUACAGGCUUAACACAUGCAAGUCGAGGGGCAGCAUGGUCUUAGCUUGCUAAGGCCGAUGGCGACCGGCGCACGGGUGAGUAACACGUAUCCAACCUGCCGUCUACUCUUGGACAGCCUUCUGAAAGGAAGAUUAAUACAAGAUGGCAUCAUGAGUCCGCAUGUUCACAUGAUUAAAGGUAUUCCGGUAGACGAUGGGGAUGCGUUCCAUUAGAUAGUAGGCGGGGUAACGGCCCACCUAGUCUUCGAUGGAUAGGGGUUCUGAGAGGAAGGUCCCCCACAUUGGAACUGAGACACGGUCCAAACUCCUACGGGAGGCAGCAGUGAGGAAUAUUGGUCAAUGGGCGAGAGCCUGAACCAGCCAAGUAGCGUGAAGGAUGACUGCCCUAUGGGUUGUAAACUUCUUUUAUAAAGGAAUAAAGUCGGGUAUGGAUACCCGUUUGCAUGUACUUUAUGAAUAAGGAUCGGCUAACUCCGUGCCAGCAGCCGCGGUAAUACGGAGGAUCCGAGCGUUAUCCGGAUUUAUUGGGUUUAAAGGGAGCGUAGAUGGAUGUUUAAGUCAGUUGUGAAAGUUUGCGGCUCAACCGUAAAAUUGCAGUUGAUACUGGAUAUCUUGAGUACAGUUGAGGCAGGCGGAAUUCGUGGUGUAGCGGUGAAAUGCUUAGAUAUCACGAAGAACUCCGAUUGCGAAGGCAGCCUGCUAAGCUGCAACUGACAUUGAGGCUCGAAAGUGUGGGUAUCAAACAGGAUUAGAUACCCUGGUAGUCCACACGGUAAACGAUGAAUACUCGCUGUUUGCGAUAUACUGCAAGCGGCCAAGCGAAAGCGUUAAGUAUUCCACCUGGGGAGUACGCCGGCAACGGUGAAACUCAAAGGAAUUGACGGGGGCCCGCACAAGCGGAGGAACAUGUGGUUUAAUUCGAUGAUACGCGAGGAACCUUACCCGGGCUUAAAUUGCAGAUGAAUUACGGUGAAAGCCGUAAGCCGCAAGGCAUCUGUGAAGGUGCUGCAUGGUUGUCGUCAGCUCGUGCCGUGAGGUGUCGGCUUAAGUGCCAUAACGAGCGCAACCCUUGUUGUCAGUUACUAACAGGUUCCGCUGAGGACUCUGACAAGACUGCCAUCGUAAGAUGUGAGGAAGGUGGGGAUGACGUCAAAUCAGCACGGCCCUUACGUCCGGGGCUACACACGUGUUACAAUGGGGGGUACAGAGGGCCGCUACCACGCGAGUGGAUGCCAAUCCCCAAAACCUCUCUCAGUUCGGACUGGAGUCUGCAACCCGACUCCACGAAGCUGGAUUCGCUAGUAAUCGCGCAUCAGCCACGGCGCGGUGAAUACGUUCCCGGGCCUUGUACACACCGCCCGUCAAGCCAUGGGAGCCGGGGGUACCUGAAGUGCGUAACCGCGAGGAGCGCCCUAGGGUAAAACUGGUGACUGGGG
rnacentral:rRNA from 1 species